AUACCUUUCUCGGCCUUUUGGCUAAGAUCAAGUGUAGUAUCUGUUCUUAUCAGUUUAAUAUCUGAUAUGUGGGCCAUGUGCCCACAAUGAUAUUAAAUUUAUUUUUUGUGGGGGAGGGACCACCAUAAUGGCUUGCCAUUGGGUCCCUUAUGUGUCGCCCAGUAUGUUGCACUACUGCCUGGGCAGGCUCACCCCAA
rfam:Triticum aestivum genome assembly, contig: Triticum_aestivum_CS42_TGACv1_scaffold_556737_7AL